rnacentral:lncRNA from 1 species
AAAAAAAUAGAAAUACAAUGAUAUAUAUAAAAUGGUGUGGUUAACAGUAGUUACAGGUUAAUUUGUAAACACUGUUCUGCAAAACUGAAACUAAAGAGAGGCAAAAAAAAGCAGAAAUAGAAACUUAGACUAUCUGCUUUGGCAACAAGCAAAUCUACCUGUCUGUGAUGUAAGAGAUGGGCGGGAGGACAGAGAGGGUAAAUAGAGAGCAGAGAGAGGAAACGGUCCCUUCUAUCCUACAGACUCGUCUGAUGAAGUAGCUGGAGGUCUGACUGCAGUUCAGCCAGCAGGUUCCUGGAUCCUGAUGGCCACUGCUACUCUGAUCAACCUGAGUACUUCUUAAGGAUUUCUGGGACAUGUAGUCCACUGCUUGCAUUUUUUCCUUAUUUGUAGAGAAAAAAAUCCCAUCUGCCAAGGGAUUCGGGCACUCAGGUCUUCUGCCCUGUUCCAGUACACGCAUUGUUGUGGCCUCCUGCCUUAUGGAUGGGAUGAACAUCACGGUGUCACUGGUCUAGGUUCAGCGGGCCUGCAGUGGACAGCACCACAAUUACAUCUAUGGCUGCGAAAUAUCUGCGAAAUAAGCCUCAGACUUUUGAAGUAUACAAUGUUUGAUGAACAAUGCUUUUACAAGUUAAUACAAAUAAUCACUGAAAUAAUGUACCUGACUGUUGGAGCAAUCCUCAAAAAAUAUUGUUUGUUCUGAAGUCUGUUGCUUGGUUGGCAGGUUCUGGGGAUGGCCUGCUGUAAAACAACCAACAACCCUUUUCUUUUAAUGCUGUAUGCAAUUUUCUGUAAAAAAAUAAAAAAUAAAAUAAAAAUAGCA